UACGGGAGGCAGCAGUGGGGAAUAUUGGACAAUGGGCGAAAGCCUGAUCCAGCCAUGCCGCGUGUGUGAAGAAGGUCUUCGGAUUGUAAAGCACUUUAAGUUGGGAGGAAGGGCAGUUACCUAAUACGUGAUUGUUUUGACGUUACCGACAGAAUAAGCACCGGCUAACUCUGUGCCAGCAGCCGCGGUAAU
rnacentral:rRNA from 2 species